GACGAACGCUGGCGGCGUGCCUAAUACAUGCAAGUAGAACGCUGAAGGAGGAGCUUGCUUCUCUGGAUGAGUUGCGAACGGGUGAGUAACGCGUAGGUAACCUGCCUGGUAGCGGGGGAUAACUAUUGGAAACGAUAGCUAAUACCGCAUAAGAGUAGAUGUUGCAUGACAUUUGCUUAAAAGGUGCAAUUGCAUCACUACCAGAUGGACCUGCGUUGUAUUAGCUAGUUGGUGAGGUAACGGCUCACCAAGGCAACGAUACAUAGCCGACCUGAGAGGGUGAUCGGCCACACUGGGACUGAGACACGGCCCAGACUCCUACGGGAGGCAGCAGUAGGGAAUCUUCGGCAAUGGACGGAAGUCUGACCGAGCAACGCCGCGGGAGUGAAGAAGGUUUUCGGAUCGUAAAGCUCUGUUGUAAGAGAAGAACGAGUGUGAGAGUGGAAAGUUCACACUGUGACGGUAUCUGACCAGAAAGGGACGGCUAACUACGUG
rnacentral:rRNA from 1 species